rnacentral:rRNA from 1 species
CCUACGUGUGGCAGCAGUGAGGAAUAUUGGUCAAUGGGCGCUAGCCUGAACCAGCCAAGUCGCGUGAAGGAUGACUGCCCUAUGGGUUGUAAACUUCUUUUAUAUGGGAAUAAAGUGCAGUAUUUAUACUGCUUUGAAUGUACCUUAUGAAUAAGGAUAGGCUAACUCCGUUCCAGCAGCCGCGGUAAUACGGAGGAUACGAGCGUUAUCCGGCUUUUUUGGGGUUAAAGGGGGCGUAGGCGGGUGUUUAAGUCAGGUGUGAAAGUUUGGGGCUGAACCGUAAAAUUGCAGUUGAUACUGGCAGCCUUGAGUACGGUAGAGGGAGGCGGAAUGCGUGGUGGAGCGGUGAAAUGCUUAGAUAUCACGAAGAACGCCGAUUGCGAAGGCAGCCUGCUGGACUGUAACUGACGCUGAUGCUCGAAAGUGUGGGUAUCGAACAGGAUUAGAUACCCUUGUAGUC